AGGGGUUGGAAGGCCUUGAUCCUACCUGACACUAGUUAACAGCUAGUUCGCCCAACCAACGAGCAUCAACCCC
rnacentral:tRNA from 1 species